AGUGAACGCUGGCGGUAGGCCUAACACAUGCAAGUCGAACGGCAGCACAGUAAGAGCUUGCUCUUACGGGUGGCGAGUGGCGGACGGGUGAGGAAUACAUCGGAAUCUACUUUUUCGUGGGGGAUAACGUAGGGAAACUUACGCUAAUACCGCAUACGAACUACGGGUGAAAGCAGGGGAUCUUCGGACCUUGCGCGAUUGAAUGAGCCGAUGUCGGAUUAGCUAGUUGGCGGGGUAAAGGCCCACCAAGGCGACGAUCCGUAGCUGGUCUGAGAGGAUGAUCAGCCACACUGGAACUGAGACACGGUCCAGACUCCUACGGGAGGCAGCAGUGGGGAAUAUUGGACAAUGGGCGCAAGCCUGAUCCAGCCAUACCGCGUGGGUGAAGAAGGCCUUCGGGUUGUAAAGCCCUUUUGUGGGGAAAGAAAAGCAGCAGGUUAAUACCCCGCUGUUCUGACGGUACCCAAAGAAUAAGCACCGGCUAACUUCGUG
rnacentral:rRNA from 1 species